rnacentral:rRNA from 1 species
GGAGCCUAUCACAGGGACAAAGAAUCAAACAUGUUCAUAUAUCUGACUUCACAAUGAACAAUUACAACACAAGAUUCGCAACUAGUAACCUGAAUGUAAAAGACAAAUAACGAACGGGCGGUUCACAUAUAUUGAAAUAGUGUAAAACAGAGUACAAUCUAUCAAGUCUCCACUCUAAUUGUUCACAGAAAUUGCACGCACGCAUGCACAGGGGGGUAGCAGCAGGAUUUGAGGGAAAAAAGGAGAGAGGAGCAGCAGCAGUAGUAGGCAGGGGCAGAGGCAAGGAGCAGCAGGGGCGAGAAGAGAAGCAGCAGGGGCGCAUCAAGAGAAAGGAGCAGCAGCAGAUGCGUUAGGGGGGGAAGAGAAGUAGCAGCAGCAAGGGGAAGAAGAAGAAGAGUGGAGGAGCAGCAGGGAGAUGGAUGGGAGGCGGCGUGAGGUGGUGAGGCGGUGCUGGUGGCGGCGUUGAUGGAGGUGCUGGGCGGCGCGAUGAAGGUGGAGGCGCGGUGGUGGAUCGGGUUGCGGAGGCGCGGUGGAGUGGUGGAGUGGUGAUGAUGGCGCGCCCACCACGCCGGCCUGGCUGUGGCAGCGGCCGGUGUUGGAGAAGGAGGUCGGGGAGAAGGAGAGAUGUGCCAGGCCCAAUUUGGGAAUGGAUGCGUCUAGGGAUUUUGAUCCCCAUCUGAUCUGCCACUUUUAUGAUUUGGCCCUCCUCUUCUAUUCAUUUCUUCCCAAGAAGGUCCCCUGGAUACUUCUUUUCUUCUCACUGAAGUCCUUGACGUAUUUCUUUCAUGCCCUUCUCUCUUCUGGUUAGCCAUAUAGUCUGGAAUCUUGACGAUUAUAGUGCCUUUGCGCACUUUUCUGCAAAAGAAACAAGUGACAAGUAAAUGAACCCUUUAUAUGAUUCUCAUUAAAAUACGCAGUAAUUCAUAGCAAGAAUUGAUUGUCAGAUCACAACAGAUGCUAUAUUUGGGUGUCAAAUUAUAUAUAUGAAAUGUGCUUAUCAAGUUCCCCCACACUUAAAUCUUUACUUGUCCUCAAGUAAAGGCAUAAGACAUGAACUAGAUAGUGAAUAGUGAACUGACUAGAAAAUGCUAAGUGAAGUAGAUCUCCAAACAAGGCAUGCUUCAGACUUAGCUAGUGAAAAUUAAUGGUUAAGAGUGCUACAAAGCAAUAUGAUACUAGUAGACUCAAUCAUUUUAAACUUUUACAAUGAUAAAAGAAGAUCAACAAGUUCAAACGAUGAUUGUGCCAAAUGGUUCCUAAAGAGAGCAUGAUCCCAAGAGAUACUUAUUACUAGGAACACAACAUUGUGGUAGAACCACUUAUUGAAUUUGAAGAAAGCAAUGAUAAUAUUUUAUCAGUCUCACCAAAGGAACAUACCACCGAUCCCGAGAACAUGGUAUACACCUAGCUCGACCAAUUAUUAGUUUUUUUGUUAUUGUCUCCCCAAAGGAACAUACCACCGAUCCAGAGAACAUGGUAUACACCUGGUUCGACAAUUGCAUUUUUAUGAAAUGAUUAAUUAAUGUCCAAGCUAACCAAAUUUCACAUGCCACCGAUCCAGGGAACAUGACAUGCUACUGUAGGUAGAUUAGACUUAUAUUUAUUAUUACAUAUUGAACAAAGGAAUUACAAUGGCAUGAAAACAUAAGGAAACAAGAAUCAUCACUCAUCCAUGUCUGGUUCACAUGCUACCGAUCCAGAGAACAUAGCAUGCUAAUCCAUAGUGGUCAAGUGAUUGCUCUGAAUGGGAACACACUUGGCACAAAUUCAGCAUCUAACACUUGAUGAUCUAGGUGUAUCAAAGUAAAUGCAGAAAAUGAUUAAGUUUCUUAGUGUACUAGGGAUUUGAGCAACUAAUUUCAGCCAAGCAAGCAUUGUGUAGAUCACUAGUUUACAAGGCAUUCAGCAAUCAGUUCACAUAUUCACAUCAAGCACCAUAUGUCAAAGGUAAAAUACAGUGGGACAACAUUUAAGAAAUGGCUCAAGCAACCCAAAUAGCAAUUGAUUGCAACAUGUAUAAUGUAUGAUGGUAUUCAGAUUGGGGUCAUGAAACAGCUCACCGGGCUUAUGUGAUGUAGGUCUCGCACAAUCGCUCACUGAACUGCAGCUCUCUCCUUUUGCUUCCUCAUACAUGCUCCAGCUUCGCUCUUCCUCAUGUGUGCUCAUUGCUUCUCCUC